rnacentral:rRNA from 1 species
GUGGGGAAUCUUGCGCAAUGGGCGAAAGCCUGACGCAGCCAUGCCGCGUGAAUGAUGAAGGUCUUAGGAUUGUAAAAUUCUUUCACCGGGGACGAUAAUGACGGUACCCGGAGAAGAAGCUCCGGCUAACUUCGUGCCAGCAGCCGCGGUAAUACGAAGGGGGCUAGCGUUGCUCGGAAUUACUGGGCGUAAAGGGCGCGUAGGCGGACAGCUUAGUCAGAGGUGAAAGCCCAGGGCUCAACCUUGGAAUUGCCUUUGAUACUGGCUGUCUUGAGUACAGGAGAGGUGAGUGGAACUCCGAGUGUAGAGGUGAAAUUCGUAGAUAUUCGGAAGAACACCAGUGGCGAAGGCGACUCACUGGCCCGUUACUGACGCUGAGGCGCGAAAGCGUGGGGAGCAAACAGGAUUAGAAACCCCAGUAGUCC